rnacentral:rRNA from 1 species
UACGUAGGGUGCAAGCGUUGUCCGGAAUUAUUGGGCGUAAAGAGUGUGUAGGCGGUGCUCUAAGUUCGGUGUGAAAUCUCCUGGCUUAACUGGGAGGGUGCGCCGGAAACUGGGGUGCUCGAGCGUGGGAGAGGAAAGCGGAAUUCCUGGUGUAGCGGUGAAAUGCGUAGAUAUCAGGAGGAACACCUGUGGUGUAGACAGCUUUCUGGACCAUUGCUGACGCUGAGACACGAAAGCGUGGGUAGCAAACAGG